GAGUUUGAUCUUGGCUCAGAUUGAACGCUGGCGGCAUGCCUUACACAUGCAAGUCGAACGGCAGCACGGGAGCUUGCUCCUGGUGGCGAGUGGCGAACGGGUGAGUAAUGCAUCGGAACGUAUCCUGGAGUGGGGGGAUAACGUAGCGAAAGUUACGCUAAUACCGCAUAUUCUGUGAGCAGGAAAGCGGGGGACCUUCGGGCCUCGCGCUCUUGGAGCGGCCGAUGUCGGAUUAGCUAGUUGGUGAGGUAAAGGCUCACCAAGGCGACGAUCCGUAGCAGGUCUGAGAGGAUGAUCUGCCACACUGGAACUGAGACACGGUCCAGACUCCUACGGGAGGCAGCAGUGGGAAUUUUGGACAAUGGGGGCAACCCUGAUCCAGCCAUGCCGCGUGAGUGAAGAAGGCCUUGGU
rnacentral:rRNA from 1 species